rnacentral:rRNA from 1 species
CCUACGGGAGACAGCAGUGAGGAAUAUUGGUCAAUGGGAGAGAUCCUGAACCAGCCAAGCCGCGUGAGGGAAGACGGCCCUAUGGGUUGUAAACCUCUUUUGUCGGAGAACAAAACCCGGGACGUGUCCCGGACUGCGUGUAUCCGAAGAAAAAGCAUCGGCUAACUCCGUGCCAGCAGCCGCGGUAAUACGGAGGAUGCGAGCGUUAUCCGGAUUUAUUGGGUUUAAAGGGUGCGUAGGCGGUCCGUUAAGUCAGCGGUAAAAUUGCGGGGCUCAACCCCGUCGAGCCGUUGAAACUGGCAGACUUGAGUUGGCGAGAAGUACGCGGAAUGCGCGGUGUAGCGGUGAAAUGCUUAGAGAUCAUACAGAACACCGAUUGCGAAGGCAGCUUACCAAGCUACUUCUGACGUUGAGGCACGAAAGCGUGGGGAGCAAACAGGAUUAGAUACCCGAGUAGUC